rnacentral:rRNA from 1 species
AACCGAGACUACCAAUCUGACAUCCCUCUGACCGUCCUUAAUCGACCUCUCUCGGAGCAGAGUGACAGGUGGUGCAUGGUUGUCGUCAGCUCGUGUCGUGAGAUGUUGGGUUAAGUCCCGCAACGAGCGCAACCCCUAUCCUCAGUAGCCAGCAUUUAAGGUGGGCACUCUGGGGAGACUGCCAGGGAUAACCUGGAGGAAGGCGGGGAUGACGUCAAAUCAUCAUGCCCCUUAUGAUUUGGGCUACACACGUGCUACAAUGGCGUAAACAAAGGGAAGCGAGAUCGUGAGAUGGAGCAAAUCCCAAAAAUAACGUCCCAGUUCGGACUGUAGUCUGCAACCCGACUACACGAAGCUGGAAUCGCCAGUAAUCGCGGAUCAGAAUGCCGCGGUGAAUACGUUCCCGGGUCUUGUACACACCGCCCGUCACACCAUGGGAGUCAGUAACGCCCGAAGUCAGUGACCUAACUGUAAAGAAGGAGCUGCCGAAGGCGGGACCGAUGACUGGGUSAAGUCCUAACAAGGUAGCCGUAACCUUCACAAUCGAAUUC